GCUGGCAGCUAGCUCUCCGUGACUAGCUCUCUGCAACUCUCACAUGGUCGCCCACUGAAGCCAAGCAGGGCUGCGCCCGGUCAGUCCCGGAUGGGAGACCACAAUGGAAAGCUACGUUGCUGCCGGAA
rnacentral:rRNA from 1 species